AGAAGACCAAGGUGAAACUCCACCUCCCAUUGGAAAUCAUGGAGUCACCUUCUACAAAACACUCCUAUUAAAUUAGGGAAAUGGAAUUUAAAGAUAUCAUUUUGGUCCACCUAUCUGAAAAAGCGUGAAGAAUUUCCCGGCUGCUAACUCAGCAUAUGUGACCACAUUCACCUCUGUCUGCCUGCGAGAGUACGUGUAGAAACUAGGUUGCUGGAAGGAAUACGUUUCUCAGUAGAUUGCCUUGCCCACCAGAGUGACGUGAAGAUUGGUGAUGGUCUCCCUCUCGUCCCAAAGAAAUUCUCCAUGUUCAGAGUAUUUCUCAUUGAGCACCUGCUGGCAUUGGACCAUACAGUCAGUCUA